rnacentral:rRNA from 1 species
GAUGAACGCUGGCGGCGUGCCUAAUACAUGCAAGUCGAGCGAACGGACGAGAAGCUUGCUUCUCUGAUGUUAGCGGCGGACGGGUGAGUAACACGUGGAUAACCUACCUAUAAGACUGGGAUAACUUCGGGAAACCGGAGCUAAUACCGGAUAAUAUUUUGAACCGCAUGGUUCAAAAGUGAAAGACGGUCUUUCUGUCACUUAUAGAUGGAUCCGCGCUGCAUUAGCUAGUUGGUAAGGUAACGGCUUACCAAGGCAACGAUGCAUAGCCGACCUGAGAGGGUGAUCGGCCACACUGGAACUGAGACACGGUCCAGACUCCUACGGGAGGCAGCAGUAGGGAAUCUUCCGCAAAGGGCGAAAGCCUGACGGAGCAACGCCGCGUGAGUGAUGAAGGUCUUCGGAUCGUAAAACUCUGUUAUUAGGGAAGAACAUAUGUGUAAGUAACUGUGCACAUCUUGACGGUACCUAAUCAGAAAGCCACGGCUAACUACGUG